UUUCUCAUGAAACCCUAGCCAAGAAAAUUCUUCUUCUUCCUGUUUGCUUGCCACGAGAAAACUUAAUUUUCAAAGGGUUUUUGAUACCAAUCGUGAGGUUAUUUGGUAACAAUCGCUGAUCAUACCGUGGAGUUAAUAUGCAGUCAGCGGUCUGAAAAAGGGAUUGACAGUGCGGAGAAAAAAGGGAUUAAAGAUUAGAGAAAGAUUUUCGCAGCUUUCGCUCCUUUCUUCACCUGAGGAAAAUAGAAAUUAGGGCCAAACUCAAAAAGAACAUGUCUAUUUAGAAAUUCUACAGAAGAAAUAUAUUGCUGGAGUCUCUCUACUGAGGUUGUGUUCUGCUAUUCAGAGUUAGGCAGGCUACUGUUGCUGCAAUCAGAAUCCAAAUAAAGGAAAUGUGGCCUGUUCCGAGCGGAGCAUUCAGGACAUGGGAGCUUCAAAAGUCACCGAUUAAGGCACGAUCAGAUAUAGAAGAACAAGAUGUGGAACGUUAUAUCUUUAAUCUUUCAAGGAACAAGAUGUUGAAAAUGCAGCAUCGAGCCUCAAAAGUGAAGAAUGAAAUUGCAUCGUUCACAUAUCACUGCAUCAAAGAAGAUGCUGGAGGAGUUUAAUGACGAUUUUUUGGAAGAUAUAGCAAUACCCAACGGGCGUAGAGGGGCUUCUCUUCAAUGAGUUCGCAGAUACGUUGUUGUACAUGCCAACUAGAAUUUUCAGCUAACUCUUUUGCCAAUACCAAUUUGUGGUGGCAAGUCGUGUGAUUCGUAACCACAUUUUUUCAUCCCUACUGUUUGCAACUUAGUUUUAAGGUUUUGUCCGUAAAAGGUUUACGUUCUAUAAAUAGACAAGAACUGCUGUUUUGCCACACUAAAAGAAUAAAACAAAAUUGGUUAAAAAGACCAAAAUUAACAA